CGGGAGGCAGCAGUAGGGAAUUUUGCGCAAUGGGGGAAACCCUGACGCAGCAACGCCAUGUGUGGGAUGAAGCAUUUCGGUGUGUAAACCACUGUCAGCGGGGAAUAAACGGCAGCUUCGGGCUGCUUUGAAUGUACCCGCAAAGA
rnacentral:rRNA from 1 species